rnacentral:rRNA from 1 species
GAUGAACGCUAGCUACAGGCUUAACACAUGCAAGUCGAGGGGCAGCAUGGUCUUAGCUUGCUAAGACUGAUGGCGACCGGCGCACGGGUGAGUAACACGUAUCCAACCUGCCGUCUACUCUUGGACAGCCUUCUGAAAGGAAGAUUAAUACAAGAUGGCAUCAUGAGUCCGCAUGUUCACAUGAUUAAAGGUAUUCCGGUAGACGAUGGGGAUGCGUUCCAUUAGAUAGUAGGCGGGGUAACGGCCCACCUAGUCUUCGAUGGAUAGGGGUUCUGAGAGGAAGGUCCCCCACAUUGGAACUGAGACACGGUCCAAACUCCUACGGGAGCAGCAGUGAGGAAUAUUGGUCAAUGGACGAGAGUCUGAACCAGCCAAGUAGCGUGAAGGAUGACUGCCCUAUGGGUUGUAAACUUCUUUUAUACGGGAAUAAAGUGGGCUAUGUAUAGCUUUUUGUAUGUACCGUAUGAAUAAGGAUCGGCUAACU